GACGAACGCUGGCGGCGUGCUUAACGCAUGCAAGUCGAACGUGGUCCAUGGUGCUUGCACCGGAAGACCGAGUGGCGAACGGGUGAGUAACACGUGAGGAACCCACCCGGACGACCGGGGAUAACCCUCCGAAAGGAGGGCUAAUACCGGAUGUCCUCAUCGGGCCGCAUGACCUGAUGAGGAAAUGGAUUCCGCUCCGGGACGGCCUCGCGGCCUAUCAGCUUGUUGGUGGGGUAACGGCCUACCAAGGCGUCGACGGGUAGCUGGUCUGAGAGGACGGUCAGCCACACUGGGACUGAGACACGGCCCAGACUCCUACGGGAGGCAGCAGCGGGGAAUAUUNCGCAAUGGGCGAAAGCCUGACGCAGCAACGCCGCGUGAGGGAUGAAGGCUCUCGGG
rnacentral:rRNA from 1 species